rnacentral:lncRNA from 1 species
UCCUCUUGUUUUCUGCAAUUUUUUCUCUCUUUCUCUCUUUCCUCUCUCUCAAUAAAUCUGUGCAAUUUCUUCUCUCUUUCCUCUCUCAUCCUCCUGCCCUUUGCCUCUGUUGCUUCCCUCUCUUCACUCUGAAACUUGCCUAUUUUCCUCAUUCCUAUCCGUCAAAUCUCGGGUUUCUUUCUCCUCUCGGUGUUUCUCUCUCUAAGCUAUCUUCCAUCGAUCAUUG